CUCAGGGAUAGCUCCAAUCCCCACAGAGACCUCGUCCAAAAACCUGGGAGCAGCAGGGAAGAAGUAGAAAGCUCAAAGCUUGUGGUUUGCAUGACUGAGACAGUCCAACAGACGCGGUCUCUCCCACAUAUUGCUAGGUCUCCAAGCCUUCUUCAGGCCCGUUACGUACCUUGUUUUGUGAUUUAGGACACCUACCUGGUUUAUAUUCUCAAUGAGCUGGCCGGCAACUCCUUCAUGAUAUUCUGUAGCACCUGUAACAACACUCAGAGAACAGCAUUGCUGCUUCGCAAUCUCGGGUUCACGGCCAUCCCCCUCCAUGGGCAGAUGAGUCAGAGCAAGCGCCUUGGAUCCCUUAAUAAGUUUAAAGCUAAGGCGAGGUCCAUUCUCCUAGAGUCUAGGCUGGCCACAUACGUGCUCCUCCACUGCUGAUGUGUCAUAGCCCACCCCACCCCCCAAAAGGCAGAAGAGUAGCUGUGGUUGCAGUGAGCUCGGGCGUUCUGCCUCUCCUCUCAGAGCCAGCUGCUGACCUGUAUGCGUUUGCCUUGGAUACCUCCGUGUACUCUGAACACCAGACAGGCUUACGUGAAGCACGAGUCUAGUAGGGCAAUGUCAGCUGCCUCAGAGGAGACUCUAGAGGAGACCCUGGAAGUGUGUGUCCUUCCUGGGGAGAACUCUGAGGUGUGGGAACUUUGCCUUUGUUGGUUUUUGAAUAACUGAAAUACAGACUUCUGUGGUUUUCUGCCCACAUGG
rnacentral:lncRNA from 1 species